GUCCCAUUACCUGUCACCACUACCGUCAACUUAUUCGAUUUCAAGUAUCGACCAUCCACCUCCGUCUCCUCCAAUCAUAUCACCAUCGUUUAUUACCCUACGACCAAAAAAUCCUUGAACUUUAAACUAUCGUCUUCUCAAACAGAAAAGGAAAAGACGAAGUACGACGAUGGAAUAAGUGGAGCAAGAGAAACCUGGCCUCCCACAAUGACGGCGGAGGGAAGAACAUCCUAGACAGAAGCAAAAACGGAAUCUUCACUGCCGUAGUCGCCGACAACAGUAUCGCAGGUCGGUUGAAAUCUUAGCUACGUAAAGUUUGUAAGCUUUCCGUUUGAAUACGAGUUUUUCAAGUCCACGCUUCCACCAAAGUCAAAUGACCAACGAAGGUUCGAUCGAGGACUUUUCCCGACUUCUUUCAUAACGGAAACUUCAAUCGACAAGCUUCUCAAGUUUCUUUCACAAUGAAUCCUUCAAUUGACAUGUUUGCCUAGUUUCGUCUACAAAUUUCCCUCUUCCAUCCAUGAAUGAUGGCUUACUUAACACAACAGAACUUGCAAGAAUAGAACUAAAGAACACAAUUUAUGUAAGAUUCCAUGUAUCCUGGAUAAGAAACUUCAUCUAAAGCUAUGCUUCAUUAAUUCAAUCACUCGAAAAAAAAGACAACAAUGACUCUAAACACUACAUGUUUAAAAAGUCGGCUUAAAUUUUUUGUGUUAUAUAUAUUUAACAGUAUAAUUUGAUCUGGCUAGUGUCGUGAAUGAAAUUCUUUCUACAAAUCUUCCUAUCAAAUUAAAUAGUGACAUGUACAUCAUUUAAUGAUAUUUUGAUAUAAUAAUAUGACACAUGUCAUCAUUCAAUUGGGUAAAAAGAUUUAUAGGAAGAAGAGUAAAGGGAUAUUUAGUUUCUCCGACCAAUAAAAAAGCAACUCACAUAUUCCACCACUUUUUUCCCUUUUCCUUUGUAACAAUAUAAAAAAAAAACGUAGGACCCGUUUUUCUGAAAGCGUGUGAAGAAGAUGGGCGAAGAAGACGACCAAAACCUAUACAGCUGGACAUUCAUAUUUGUUUGAACAAAUUAUACGGAUGGUCCUUUAACUUUAUAGUUUUUCCCUGAUAUGGUCCCUACGAAACUUUUUUCCCUGAGAUGGUUCCUACGGACUAAACUUUGCACACAAAAGGUCCUUAUGACUAACUUUGUUAAAAGAUUCUGUUAAGUAUAUGUGAAAAGACGAAAAUGCCCUUUGUUUUUGUUUUUUUAUAUUUAUUUUAAUAUGAUGUCAAAUUGAAAUAAAAAAUAGGGUAUUCUCUCUCUCUCUCUCUCUCUCUCUCUCUCUCUCUCUUUUUCUCUCUCUCGUUAAAUUACUCCUUCUCUUUCUACCCCCACCUAUCUUCUCUUCCCGUUUUUAUUCACCACUGGCCAAGGAAGAGACUGCCAGCCACUAGAACUGCCCCUUCCUUCCUCUUUCUGUCGCAAUCCAGCUCCACAAACACUCCCUAUAGCUGUUGUUGUCCCCCUAGAUCUCUGCAGCCUUGCCAAAACGCUUGGUCACCGGAAAAAUGAACCAGAAGAAAGGAGGAUGUUGCCUCCGAUCUGGCCCCCUCCACCUCCUUCUCUAGUUGAGUAGCAUCACCCCAAACACCCUAUGUUUCUGUUUUGCUCGAUCCAUGCCUCCCCUUCUCCUUGCAUUCUAUUGUCUGAAAAAGAAAGAAGAACCGAUGAGGGAGUUGUCGGAGCAACCCCUCGCUAGAACCAUCGUCGAUCUAGCUGCUUCCUUUUCCCCUUCAUUGGUGGUCGUCGGUGACAAGAAAAGAUCCACAAAGGGUCGUCGGAGGUGGGUUGCUCCUCGUCGCGAUCUGCUUGACCACCAUAGCUUCCCGAUCAUCACUUUCCAUUUGUGUUUCUUUUUCUGCUUCUCCGACUAGACAAUAAACGAUGAGCAUUUCCCCAUCGUUUGUGUUGUUGGAUCUCUGGUGGAUCUACAAUUGAUGUCUGAUCUAAAGAGAGAGAGAGAGAGAGAGAGAGAGAGAGAGAGAGAGAGAGAGAGAGAGAGAGAGAGAGAGAGAGAGAGAGAGAGAGAGAGAGAGAGAGAGAGAUCAUUUA